GUAAAAGAUAAUUGGUUAAAAAUGCUUAAAUGUAAAAUUUUAUUUAAAUGGAUUGUUUUGUGUUAAUAAAGGGUGAAAUCGAUUUUUUGUUGUAUAACUAAUUUUGUUAAAUAAAAGUUGUUGAGGUUGUUAAGGUUAAGGUAUGAACCAGGAUUAGAUACCCUGUUACACUUUACUUAGAAGUUUAUUGUACCUAGGUAAUAAACAGUUAUGAUCUUGAAACUUAAAGGAUUUGGCGGUAAUUUAGUCUAGUUAGAGGAACCUGUCCUAUAAUCGAUAAACCACGUAAUAUCUUACUUUAUCUUGAAAGUUUUCAGUUUAUAUACCAUCAUUAUUAGAUAACUUUAAUAAGAUAGAGAAGUUAUUGAAAUAAUUUUUAGUUAAUAUAUUAGAUCAAGGUGUAGCUAAUGAUAAAGUAGAGAUGGGUUACAAUAAUAUGAGUG
rnacentral:rRNA from 1 species